CUUAUAAUAAGAAUAUUUUGGAUUAGUAGUAUUGAUGAAAUUUAACGGAUUUGGCGGCAAGAUAGCCAUUUAGAGGAACCUGCCCUAUAAACGAUGAACCACGAAUUACCCUACUUUUAUUAGAAAUCAGUUUGUAUACCGCUGUUGUCAGUUAGUUUCUUUAGAAAACUUUCUUACAUGAUAUAGUCAUUGACUUCAAGUAAAGGUGCAGCUUAUAUAAAAGAUAGAGGUGGGUUACAUUUAUAAGAAUAAAUGGAUUACAUUAUGAAAUUAAUGUCUGAAUUUGGAUUUAAUUGUAAAGUUUAAUAAGACUUGAUGAGAGCUCUGUCUUGUG
rnacentral:rRNA from 1 species